rnacentral:rRNA from 1 species
CCCGGCACAAGCGGUGGAGUAUGUGGUUUAAUUCGAUGCAACGCGAAGAACCUUACCUGGUCUUGACAUCCCGGAGACCCUUAGGAAACUAGGGGGUGGCUUCCAUCUGGAAGAAUCUGGAGACAGGUGCUGCAUGGCUGUCGUCAGCUCGUGUCGUGAGAUGUUGGGUUAAGUCCCGCAACGAGCGCAACCCUUGCCUUUAGUUGCCAGCAGUUCGGCUGGGCACUCUAAAGGGACUGCCGGUGUUAAACCGGAGGAAGGUGGGGAUGACGUCAAGUCCUCAUGGCCUUUAUGACCAGGGCUACACACGUACUACAAUGGCCGAUACAAAGGGCAGCGACACUGCGAGGUGAAGCCAAUCCCGUAAAAUCGGUCUCAGUCCGGAUUGGAGUCUGCAACUCGACUCCAUGAAGUUGGAAUCGCUAGUAAUCGUGGAUCAGCAUGCCACGGUGAAUACGUUCCCGGGCCUU